rnacentral:rRNA from 1 species
GAUGAACGCUGGCGGCGUGCCUAAUACAUGCAAGUCGAGCGAACGGACGAGAAGCUUGCUUCUCUGAUGUUAGCGGCGGACGGGUGAGUAACACGUGGAUAACCUACCUAUAAGACUGGGAUAACUUCGGGAAACCGGAGCUAAUACCGGAUAAUAUUUUGAACCGCAUGGUUCAAAAGUGAAAGACGGUCUUGCUGUCACUUAUAGAUGGAUCCGCGCUGCAUUAGCUAGUUGGUAAGGUAACGGCUUACCAAGGCAACGAUGCAUAGCCGACCUGAGAGGGGGAUCGGCCACACUGGAACUGAGACACGGUCCAGACUCCUACGGGAGGCAGCAGUAGGGAAUCUUCCGCAGUGGGCGAAAGCCUGACGGAGCAACGCAGCGUGAGUGAUGAAGGUCUGCGGAUCGUAAAACUCUGUUAUGAGGGAAGAACAUAUGUGUAAGUAACUGUGCACAUCUGGACGGUACCUAAUCAGAAAGCCACGGCGAACUACGU